rnacentral:lncRNA from 1 species
CCCAGCCUACUCGGCCUUCGUUCCCCUCGCUGGUGCAACAACCAUCUUACUGGAAUCACUCGCUGGAAACUACUCUUCUGAGCCUCCAACAGUUAACUAGGUUUUAACUAGGUCGCCUCACGUCUGACCAGCCGAUCUCCCAUUGUCUAACAUGUCGAUGUCAUACAAACCCGGUGACAACCGGCUAUGUUCAUUGCAGCACGCCGCUUCCAUGAGUCGGCGACUAUACUC